rnacentral:rRNA from 1 species
GCUUACGGCCACCCACCUGAGCGCGCCCGAUCUCGUCUGAUCUCGGAAGCUAAGCAGGGUCGGGCCUGGUUAGUACUUGGAUGGGAGACCGCCUGGGAAUACCAGGUGCCGUAAGCU